GUGGGUAUAGCUCAAUGGUAGAGUGCUUGCUUAGCAUGCACAAGGUCCUGGGUUCAACCCCUGGUACCUAUG
rnacentral:tRNA from 1 species